GCGGGUUUAGCUCAGUUGGGAGAGCGUCAGACUGAAGUUCCACUUCAUCCACACCAAAUCUGAAGGUCAUGUGUUCGAUCCACAUAAACCGCA